AAUAGGUUGGCAGAUUUAAUGCAUUAAAUUUAGAAUUUAAAUAUAUGAUUUUAGUCAUACUUAUUA
rnacentral:tRNA from 1 species